AAGAUAUCAGACAUCACACUCACGUCAAUCUAAAUAAAGGAAAUAUGCUUCUCUGGUAGUAAUUACAUUUAGCCAGUCAUUCCAUAAAUAUUUAUUGAGCUUCUGCUGUGUGCCACUCAUUCUGUUACAUGCUGUGGGAGAUUCUGAGGCAGCCCUCAAGGGACAGAUGGCCUGGUGGUAAGAGGACUGGAAGUAGAAGACAAAGGUAAAAGAAGGUGGAAAGGAAAGGUGCCCAGGAGAUGCAGAUCAUAGGCUAAGGGAUUCUGGGGGAGUGCUCUGAGAGAAGGCUAGGGAAAGGCUUCUCUUCUGAUUGUGGGACUGUGUCUUCCUGUCCUCCAAAUCCCAGGUGCUCAGCUCAGCACCUGACACAGGAUGAGUGCUCAGUGAAUCCUUAAAGGGUGAAUGGCUUUGUGGAAGAUGUGACACUGAGGAACAGGACAGCUGAACCCCUGAGCAGGGCCUCCAGAGAAAAGUUGAGCAGUCACAGAUCCCUGCCCAUAAUUCAUGCUGCCACACAGUCUGUUGGAAGAAGGAAGCCUUCACCAUUUGAGUAGAGCGGCAAAGUCAGUUCCAACUAGAUGUUCAACAGUGAUCUGAUUUCUAUCCAUUUGGUUAAAUGAGAACCUCCUAGGAUCUGUCUUUGUCUUUGAUUUUCUUGAUAAAUAGUCCUUUUUGAAGAAACAGAAAUAUGAUCGUUAAUUUUUUUCUGAUUAUAAGUUUUCUACGCUUACACAAUUUUCAUGGAAUGCAUUCAAGUAUAAAGAAGAAACAAGCUCUCAUAAUCAUAUAACCAAGAAAUAACCACUUCUAAGGAGCAUGCACACACACACACACACACACGCAUACACAAAAAUGGAAAAAUUCUGAUGUUUAAGUUAAUCCACUUUAACAUUAUGCCAUGUCUUUCCAUGUCAACAAAUAGAGAUGUAUAUUAUUGUUUUAAUGAGUGCUGAAUAUGUUAUUGUAGUGAUGAAGUAAAAUUAAUGGAACCAAUUUUCUGUUGUUGGGCAUUUAGGGUUAUUCCAGUUUUAUGCUAUUAUAAAACCACUGCUGUGAACGAACCUCCUUAUAGCUAAAAUAGUCCACAUUUGAAAUCAUUUCCUUCAGAUAAAUUCCUAGAAGUGCAAUUGCUGGGUCAAAUGAGAUGCACGUUUCUAAAGCUCUGUGGCACACGUGGCCAGACUGACUUUUGCUAUUUACUCUCCCCAAUACUGGGUGUUAUCAUUUUUCUUUUCUUUUUCCUUUUUUUUUUUUUUUUUUUGCUAUCUGAAGGAUGGGGAUAUAUAGACUUGCAUAGGAGUGUCAGGUGAGGGGUCAUGUUGAUUUCUCCUGUUCCCUUUCCAGAGAGACUCCCUGACAAAGAAACCUUUCUCCUGGACAUGGAUCAGAGCAGAAUAGCAGGUACCCCCUCUAUGAACCUAGCCUCUAAGUUUGGAGGGGCUAGGAACAUCACUUUGCCAGUCUCAUGUUUCAGGAGAAUUACCUCCUUUUCCCUUUAGUCCCAGGCCAGUGUUCCUCUGAGUGCUUAGGACACCAGGUUCUUGACAUAGUGGAGAAACAGAGAGAGAAUCAAACUGCUGGUCCUGUCAGCUGACUUGAGAAAGGAAUGGGAGCUCCUAAGUCUCUCAAUGAUAGUAGGGUCAUUUCAUCAAGCCACAGUCCUAGGCAAUCAUGGAUGAUACUGGCAGGGGUUUUGUUAGAAAAAAGCCUAGUUUUAUUCUUGCCACAAUUACUAUUCUUCCCUCUUUCUCCCCAUUAAAGUUUAAUGCUGCACUCUCAGCAAGGAUGCUUUUCCUUAAUUGAUGGGCACUUCCUCAACUGAACCAUCACAGGGGAUGCAGAAUGACAACAAAGAGAAGACCCAGUGAGAGGAACAAGCUACCUCAACCCGGAGUGGUGCUCCUGAAAGUCUCUACAGAAGAAUCCAGAACCAGUAUCCCUCGUUCAUUCAACACCUAAUUACCGAGGUCCUUCUCUGAGACAGGCCCUGGGUUAGCUCAGAGAUAGUUCGUAAAGACCAUUGCUCAUGGUCUUUCUUCUGAGGGGAUGUUCCUAAAAUUCCAGGAGCUCAGUCAUGUUGAAGUUCUAUGGUGUGUGAAAAAUCACAGGCCUUGGAAUCAUGCGACCUGGGCUCCAUUAUUGCCUGAAUGACGCUAACCCAUCAUUUCUCCUCUCGGCCUCAGUUUCUUCCUCUGUGAAACAGCAUGGCAACAGUAACUUUACAUAGAAUUGUGAGGAUUCAGCAGGGUGACCAUAAAAAGUGCUUCACAUAGAGCUUGAUGCAUAGUGAGCACUCAAUAAAUUUUAGCUCUGUGAUGAUGAUAAUCUGUAAAAUGAAGAGAAUAAUGCUAAUCAUAUACAGGUGUUAUAAAGAUUAAAUGAAAUAAGGCUUGUUACGUAGCUGGUACCUAGACAGUGCUCAUAAAAUGGUAGUUUUAGGGCUAUUUCUUUAUGUUAGAAGUAUCAGCCAGGUGUGGUCGCUCAUGCCUGUCAUCCCAGCACUUUGUGAGGUCAAGGCAGGAGGAUAGCUUGAGCCCAGGAGUUCAAGACCAGCCUGGGCAACAUAGUGAGAUCCCAUCUCUACCAAAAAAAAUUACUUAGGUGGUGCAUACCUGUAGUCCCAGCUACUUGGGAGGCUAGGGUGGGGGGAUCACUUGAGCCCAGGAGGUCAAGAUUGCAGUGAGCUAUGAUCGCACCAUUGCACUUCAGUCUGGGUGAGAGGCAGGAAGACUCUGAGGAGAUGAAUUUCUGAACACAUAGUAGUUUUGACUUUUAGAGACAGGCUCAUCUUCUUCUUCUUUUUUUUUUUUUUUGAGACAGAGCCUUGCUCUGUUGCCCAGACUGGAAUGCAGAGGCACAAUCUCGGCUCACUGCAAACUAGUGUCCCUGGUUUAAGUGAUUCUCCUGCCUCAGCCUCCCAAGUAGCUGGGAUUACAGACGCCCACCACCAUGCCUGGCUAAUUUCUUUGUAUUUUUAGUAGAGAUGGGGUUUUACCAUGUUGGCCAGGCUGGUCUUGACCAGGCUGGUCUCGAACUCCUGACCUCAGGUGAUCUGCCCACCUCGGCCUCCCAAAGUUCUGGGAUUAUAGGCAUAAGCCACUGUGCCCAGCCGACAGGCUCUUCUUCUUGAAGCAUCUCCAGUAAAAGUGCAACAGGGAAGAAAUAAUUAUUUCUUUAUAUUUGAGAAUAUAAAGUGUCUAUCAUUGCUUAGUAAAUUAUAGGAGAAUAGCAGAACUGAUCUGGACAACAAGAGAGAGGGAGAAAAUCUCUUAGAAAUGGAGAGAAAUAGGGCUGGUGACCCAAGGGCCCAAGGAGACUACAACAGUCACUCUUGGUCAGAGGAUAGGUGAUGAAUUUUCAGUAACUAUUCGUGUCAAGCUUUAAGCUUGAAGUUUCCCCCCAACAGCCCUGAGCUGUAAUUACCCUCUGUUUACUCCAGAUUUUGUAAAGGUCUUUUAUACACACAACCUUGGAUUGGUGGUGCUUGGGAAAGGAAACGGGGGAGGCUUUGCUCAUGCUUAAGGAGAAAGGGCUGGAGACGAGCUCUGAGCACAAACUCAAAGCAAGAGGGAACAGGAGCUUGCAUCUUUACCUCUUGGGAACAACUGUGGGACAAUGAGGUGAGUCAUUUUAGUUGGGUAUUGAAGCAGAGGGUGACUGUCCCAGAAGGCUGAGGAAUGCAAAUAAACAAAUUGAAAUAAACCCUCAGGAUGAUUUGCUUAUUAAUUAGGUUUCUAGGAAGGUCUCUCGGUAUCCAAACUACUUGGAAACAAAACAAAACAAAAUACAACAUAUGCAUGAGUGUCUGGAGAGUUAAGAAUGCCAAUUUUUUUUUUCAGAAGCCGAGACUAUUGGUGAUUCUGCCACAGUAGAGAGAUAAGCUCUGACGACUCAAAAUUAUACGUACAUCAGCCUCAGGCAUGGUUUCUAAAAUGCUUUUCCAGUCCCAGAGGGACCAAUUUGGCACUCAGGGCACAUAUUUGCCAUGUGCCACCUCAAGCUUUGGCAUCAUAAUCAAUGAAAAGGAGCUUAAUGAUGAAUUAAAAUACACUCUUUGGGUAUAAAUUACCUGCCAUUUAAAGCAGAAAGUCCUCCUCACUUUGUUAGUUGGUUGUGUAAAUACCCAAAAGCCCUGUGCAGAUUUGAUCCACCCUAGAGUGAAUGGAUUAAGAUUUAAGAUGCAAGAGUGUCCUUGUUUAUUUUCCCCCUUAGUGAUCUGGCUUAAUGAUUUCUCCCUUCUCUGUGGCAUUGCAAGGAAUUGUUAAAUACAGUAUAUGGCAAAAUGGGAAGAAAGAACAGGGAAGAACAUGGAAGGAAGAGAAAAACCUGAUUAAUCCAUGACUUUUAAACCAGGGAAAGGACAGUGAGAGAAACAGGUGCAACAUUUAGUUAGAGGGUAGGGACAGAAAUAGAGAGAAAGUGGGAGAAAUGAAUAAAGACUUGUGACAAUAAUGCAGAAAUAGCCACUGUUUAAUGAGAACCUACCAUGUACUAGUGCUGGGCUAGCAAGUAUGCCAAGUACAACAAGUAAAAGCAGGCUUGGUCCUUGUUCUCAUGGAGCUUAGCCUCUGUGGUCUACACAACUGGACUAGGUUUCUGAGGCAAAGGUCAUGUCCACUGAUAGGCUGGGACCUCUCCAAACUCACCUUGCACCACUCUGUUCUCUAUAUUUUUUCAUCGGUCAUUCUGGAAUCUUUUCAGUUCUUCCAGCCUGCCAGGCUCUCCUGCUGCCCACAUACUCCCACAUACUCUUCAUUGCUUGAGAGCUCUUUGCCCCUCUGCUAUGGUUGAGAUAGGAUCUUGCUCUGUCACCCAGGCUGGAGUGCAGUGGCAUGAUCAUGGCUCACUGUAGCUUUGACCUCCUAGCAUUCAGGUGAUCCUCCCACCUUAGCCCCCUGAGUAGCUGGGGCCACAGGUGUGCACCACCACGCCCAGCUAAUUUUGUAUUUUUUGUAGAGACGGUGUUUUGCCAUGUUGCUCAGGCUGGUCUCGAGCUCCUGGGCUCCAGUGAUCCUCCCACCUCAGCCUCCCAAAGUGCUGGGAUUAUAGGUGCGAGCCACUGUGCCCAGCAGUUUGGUUUGAAUGUUUGUCCCCUCCAAAACUCAUGUUAAAAUUUAAUCCCCAAGAUGGCAGUAUUUCGGGGUGGGAACUUUAAGAGGUGAUUGGUUUAUAAGGGCUGUGCCCUCAUAAAUGAAUUAAUCCACUCAUAAUGAAUGGAUUAAUGGGUUAGUGGAUUAAUGAGUUAUCCUGGGAGUAGGACUAGUGGCUUUAUAAGAGAAGGAAAAGAUACUUCAGCUAGCACAGUUAGCCCCCUCACCAUGUGAUGCCCUGCACUGCCUCGAGACGCUGCAGUCUCUGCCAGCAAGAAGACCCUCACCAGAUGCAGCCCCUAUACCUAGGACUUCUCAGGCUUUGUAACUGUGAGAAAUAAAUUCCUUUUCUUUAUAAAUUACUCAGUUUCAGGCAUUCUGUUAUAAGCAACAUAAAACAGACUAAAACACCUGUCUUAACUGGCAAUCUCCUUUUCAACUCAGCAAAGACUCUGUCUUCCUUCCGGAAACUUCCUUCACCCCAGGCUAGCUUAGAGCCUCCUGUUACAUGUCCU
rnacentral:lncRNA from 1 species